GCAGUCGAACGCGUUGGCCCAAUUGAUUGAUGGUGCUUGCACCUGAUUGAUUUUGGUCGCCAACGAGUGGCGGACGGGUGAGUAACACGUAGGUAACCUGCCCAGAAGCGGGGGACAACAUUUGGAAACAGAUGCUAAUACCGCAUAACAACGUUGUUCGCAUGAACAACGCUUAAAAGAUGGCUUCUCGCUAUCACUUCUGGAUGGACCUGCGGUGCAUUAGCUUGUUGGUGGGGUAACGGCCUACCAAGGCGAUGAUGCAUAGCCGAGUUGAGAGACUGAUCGGCCACAAUGGGACUGAGACACGGCCCAUACUCCUACGGGAGGCAGCAGUAGGGAAUCUUCCACAAUGGGCGCAAGCCUGAUGGAGCAACACCGCGUGAGUGAAGAAGGGUUUCGGCUCGUAAAGCUCUGUUGUUAAAGAAGAACACGUAUGAGAGUAACUGUUCAUACGUUGACGGUAUUUAACCAGAAAGUCACGGCUAACUACGUGCCAGCAGCCGCGGUAAUACGUAGGUGGCAAGCGUUAUCCGGAUUUAUUGGGCGUAAAGAGAGUGCAGGCGGUUUUCUAAGUCUGAUGUGAAAGCCUUCGGCUUAACCGGAGAAGUGCAUCGGAAACUGGAUAACUUGAGUGCA
rnacentral:rRNA from 2 species